UAAGAUGCAUUUUUCCUCGGUCAAAGGGAAGUUCAUACGGCGGUUGUUGUUUGGUCCCAGGUCAUCUAUGAUCAAGCAGCCUUGUCUUUUACUUUUUUUUUAUCUGUGUCAUUUUUUAAAGACAAUACAGUGUACUUUGAGUGAGAUGUAGUUGUUGUUUCUAGCGAAUCAAGUGAUUAGACAGAAACUCAGUGUCCAGUAUAUUGAACAUGCAAUGUAAUUUGUUUUGUCAAUAAUCAUUUCCAUCUCAUUUUAGAGGAAAUCCGCAACCGUUCCCUGAAGCUUAGCAGUAUUUUGACUGCUUGUGGAGUAAAAAGUCACCAGUUAGUUGGCCUAAUGUAAUUGUAAGAGGUGAAAAUCGUCGAUUUUUGCAGAAGUACAGUGUAAAAAGUGACUAUGAUAGAUCUGCUUACACUCUCGGUGAAUUUAUAGCCAUUCCAAAGAAAUAUAAAAUAAAAUUACAUUAUUUUAACGAGAAAUGUAACAUUGCGAAAGACGACAGCAUCCAAUCACUUUAUAAGAUUAGAACACCCUUUUCUUGAUCAGCAGAAGUUAAAACUUCCUAACCUCGCAAAUUGCAUGUUGAAAAGUGUAAAGAUGCUUGUUAAUGCUGACCGCUGACGAAAAGCUGCUUACAUCCAGCUUGAAAAUCAACAAUGAUUUUAGGCCCGUUCUUUAAAACCUAUUUCGAUAAAGGGUCAUGUUAAAAAGAUACAUUUCGGCAGAACGACAAGCUCAACUUCCCUGUGAAACCUGGACUCUACCACAUGAAUAUGGGCAGCCGUCUUCAGUGCAAACUCAAAAUCAAGAUAAUUCACAUAAAGAAUUCAAAGAUUGUGAGAGAAUUUUCGCCAGAGUCUAGUCUGAAAUGGCAGUCUUGCUUCAUAUCACUGUCAGAUGUCAAGUACAACACAUACUAUUAAAUAUCAGAAACCAAUUAUUAUUGAACUUAUUCAGUAAAAGACUUUGAACAUUCCAGAGUUUCUCUUAUGUUUCCAAAAGCAACAAUAAUAAUGAUAAUAACUUUAAAUAAAAAGUAAUGAUAAUAACA
rnacentral:lncRNA from 1 species